CAGGACGUAGCUAUAAAAUAAAAGCAUUCAGCUUACACCUGAAAGAUAUCUACUCGCCCAGAUCGUCCUGA
rnacentral:tRNA from 1 species